UACGUAGGGUGCGAGCGUUGUCCGGAAUUAUUGGGCGUAAAGAGCUCGUAGGCGGUCUGUCGCGUCGGAUGUGAAAACUCGGGGCUCAACCCCGAGCCUGCAUUCGAUACGGGCAGACUAGAGUUCGGUAGGGGAGACUGGAAUUCCUGGUGUAGCGGUGAAAUGCGCAGAUAUCAGGAGGAACACCGGUGGCGAAGGCGGGUCUCUGGGCCGAUACUGACGCUGAGGAGCGAAAGCGUGGGGAGCGAACAGG
rnacentral:rRNA from 1 species